CGCUUCUAUUUGGACUGAUGGAGGUGCAUUCCAAUGCCUGUGACCGGUGCAGCUAAAGGCGUGGUUGCCAAUGAAGGAACAACUGCAGUACUGAGACGGCUCCAACACAAAUGUGACAUUUGGGCAAAAUGAUUCCCCAUCAACGUGGAUCAAGAAGUUAGCAAUUCACAAACGUCUGUGAGGACAGGAAGAGGCAUAGAGGUAACAUUCUACAAAUGUGACUUAUUGAUGUCGACAAGAUCUCAAAGACCUAU